rnacentral:lncRNA from 1 species
GGCCAGUCACACGAUCAUCCUGCCCUCCUCCUCCCACUCCUGCACUGAGGGGCUGCUUGAAAAGGAACACAGAAGAAACUGUGGCAGAGAAAUUGCCUUUCUCCUAAGACAGACAGAGACCAACAAGAAGCCAAAAGCUCUGCAAAAAAAGGGGCCCCUCAUCUUCAGCCUCUUGCCAUCCCCCUUGCAUGAAUGAAUCUUGUCCAAGAACUGGGAGAAACUUCAGAGGGGAAGCUCGCAUGUUGUUGGAGUUCAUCUAAAAACAACCAAACAAUCAAAAAUACUGCAAGCGGGGGAUUCCCCAUCCAUGGGAAAAAGAAUAUUAAAGUUCACUUCAACUGUGGGCCAAAGACAGGAUUUAAGCACCUGGUUAUUCUUUUAUUCACUCCCUUAUGAAUCAUGAUGUGAUAGCCAACCUGUCUCCAUUUUGUGCCUCAUCACCAUUCCCCCUCCCCCCUUGGGAGUCCUCUCUGUUGAUGCUUGACAGACCACUGCACCCCAUUUGGUAGAGCAGUCUGCAGCUAUAUGUUAUCUUUAUGACCUUGUGAAGAGAAUACUCUGCACCUAUGUGAUAUUUUGUUUCAACUAAAUUCUGUGAAACUUCCCCUGACCCUCACUAAUUUAGCAAAGCUCUGCUUCUGUAAAAUUCUGCUUGUGUUCCCCCUCUCCCAGAGCCGUCCCCAACUAGAAGAGCCACUAAAAAAGAAACCUGCAAGCUGCUUUUCGGGGUCAAGAGAUUCUGAGUGCUAGCUCCUCUCAACCGCC